rnacentral:rRNA from 1 species
AUGGCGGAGUGGCGCCAGCGCCACACGAAGGACGUCACCUACGAGCAAGCCUACUGGGCAAGGCGCCGCGAGGAGGAGACGCAAAGGCGCCGCGAUGAGCGGUUGGACAGACGUCGGUGGAAGGCCCUGGCGCUAUCGCAGUGCGAAAUCGUUGAGAAUGGUGGGCAGACGAUCUUUACGUCUGAUGAUGAUCGUUGGGACGAUAUGUGGCUCGAUACCUCGGACCAGACCAGCGAGGAUGACAACGAUGACGAUGAAGACGACGACUAG